rnacentral:rRNA from 1 species
UACGGAGGGUGCAAGCGUUGUCCGGAUUUAUUGGGUUUAAAGGGUGCGUAGGCGGCUUCCUAAGUCAGUGGUGAAAGCCAACAGCUCAACUGUUGAACUGCCAUUGAUACUGGGAAGCUUGAGUACAGACGAGGUAAGCGGAAUUGACAGUGUAGCGGUGAAAUGCAUAGAUAUUGUCAAGAACUCCGAUUGCGAAGGCAGCUUACUAGACUGUAACUGACGCUGAGGCACGAAAGCGUGGGGAUCAAACAGG